GGCCACUGCAAUUCGUUAAUCCCUUUGGAAAAUUGCUUAAGCCUGGCAUGUUUUGUAAUGAACUUUAUCUCUUCACUACCAAAAGUCGUAAAAAGGAACUUCAGUGAGGAAAGAAACACAAUUGAUAAUUGAAUAUUUCAAAGAGAUCAGCAUUUUAGAAAACUGGGCUUUUUGGAUUGGCUCACAGUUUUCCUACUUUUCUGUCCUGUCAGUUGAGAAGAAUACAUUUCAAGAGAUGCUCUUGGAAAACACGUUUGAUGGAGAGGUUGAUUUUUGUAACCUGUAUGCCGUAGUCAGGAAGAGCCGUCCUCUGGCAGAUAUGUGAAAGAACUGCCUAUGAGGAGCGAGAGGCUACUUCGCACACCUCGCAGCUCAGGUCCCCGGAGACGGCUUUACAGGCACACAAGCCCCUCUCCCAAGCCAUCUGCCAGGAGCCCCAUGAGGAACACAGCACAGCGCCUGCAUCAGAAGCCCAUGGGUUUGCCUAUCACAUGUCUUGUUUUCUCCUGAUCCGUGGCUCACAGGCUCAGUGUGACCCAACCUCCUAGAUUUCCCCAUCAGUGCUAUUUGCAGUGCCCCCAAGCACUUUCCUCCACUCCAGUCCCUGAGCGCAUGCCAACGGCCCUAUUUUCAGCCACCCCUCUCCAUGCCUCUUGUCUGUCUCUAGCUGACAAGCAGAUUAUCUCUUCUGUCCACUUUGUUUGCCAAUGUACUUUGGCACCAUUGAAUUCCAACACAUGAAGUAAACUGAACUGUGUACAACGCUGAGCACACACGUGGUUUGGAGAGCAGCCCCUUGUCAGGAUCCAAAAUGUUCCCAAGCCUUGUUGAUAUUUGGGUCACUGCAGAUCUCUGAGUCCCCCUUCCUUUUUAAUCUUCUUCCCCUCAACUCAUUCUCAAUUUCUCUCUCUGAAACCACCUGUGAACACACUUAUGCAUUCAAAUAGAUGCAUACUGUUCAUGCUUAUAUUUUUCUGUAACCGUCAUAUCUAAUAAAUACUUAUCAUCCAGGAAAAAAA
rnacentral:lncRNA from 1 species